rnacentral:lncRNA from 1 species
CUUAAACUAGUUAAGAUAGUCUGCUUUCACACUUGAACUGGGCCUGAUGGCUCCCUGGACCCUUGAAGUCUUAUGGAGGUCUGUUGAUGAUAUUGUCAUAAUGCCAUAAAGGAAAUGGAAAUCAUAGAGUAAUGACACAGAGAAUGGCUUCUUGGUCCUCUAUCUACAUCACUGUCCUACUGACGUCAUGGCGACUUCAACAGGAGAAACGCACUGGCUAAGAGAAUCCGCUUCGGGAACUAGCUGAGUUGCUGACCGCAGAAGGGCACAGCGCAUGUGCAGAAGACCCUUACGCGCCAGAGAGGUCUCUGCUCAAAGCACAGUGCUGACAGAGCACGCAGCCCAAGCCUUUUCUUCCUAGCAUCUGUUUAUACAAAUUCUGACCAGGUGGCAAACUCUUCCCCUCUGCUCUCAAGCAACAGGAUGCAGGACAGAGAACACCUGUUCCAAAACUGCUCUGAUUAGCUGGAAGCUGGCAGGCGCACAAACGAUGUGCCAGCAGGAGUGUCUGUGCAGCACAUGUAUCCUCCGCCUAUGAGACCAGAAAAGGGAAGCAGAUCCCUUGGAGCUGAUGUUACAGACCGUCCUGUGCUGCCACGAGGGUGCUGGGAACCAAACUCGGUCCUCUACAUGAAUAUCAAGUACUCUUAACUGUUAAGCCAUCUCUCCAAAACCCG